AGCGAUUUUUAAUUUUCAAGGUCUCCCUUUGCUUUAACAUGGAGGUACCUGCUGCCUAAAAAAGUAAGUGCUUCCAUGUUUCAGUGGCGGUGGAUCCUAAUGUUCGAAGACUUCCUA
rnacentral:precursor_RNA from 12 species